rnacentral:rRNA from 1 species
CACUGAACAUUGAGCCUUGAUGUGUAGGAUAGGUGGGAGGCUUUGAAGUGUGGACGCCAGUCUGCAUGGAGCCGACCUUGAAAUACCACCCUUUAAUGUUUGAUGUUCUAACGUGGACCCGUGAUACCGGGUUGCGGACAGUGUCUGGUGGGUAGUUUGACUGGGGCGGUCUCCUCCUAAAGAGUAACGGAGGAGCACGAAGGUUGGCUAAUCCUGGUCGGACAUCAGGAGGUUAGUGCAAUGGCAUAAGCCAGCUUGACUGCGAGCGUGACGGCGCGAGCAGGUGCGAAAGCAGGUCAUAGUGAUCCGGUGGUUCUGAAUGGAAGGGCCAUCGCUCAACGGAUAAAAGGUACUCCGGGGAUAACAGGCUGAUACCGCCCAAGAGUUCAUAUCGACGGCGGUGUUUGGCACCUCGAUGUCGGCUCAUCACAUCCUGGGGCUGAAGUAGGUCCCAAGGGUAUGGCUGUUCGCCAUUUAAAGUGGUACGCGAGCUGGGUUUAGAACGUCGUGAGACAGUUCGGUCCCUAUCUGCCGUGGGCGCUGGAGAACUGAGGGGGGCUGCUCCUAGUACGAGAGGACCGGAGUGGACGCAUCACUGGUGUUCGGGUUGUCAUGCCAAUGGCACUGCCCGGUAGCUAAAUGCGGAAGAGAUAAGUGCUGAAAGCAUCUAAGCACGAAACUUGCCCCGAGAUGAGUUCUCCCUGAGACUUAAAGUCUCCUGAAGGAACGUUGAAGACGACGACGUUGAUAGGCCGGGUGUGUAAGCGCAGCGAUGCGUUGAGCUAACCGGUACUAAUGAACCGUGAGGCUUAACCUUACAACGCCGAAG